CAGCCGCCACGGGAAUACGAAUGGGGCUAGCGUUAAUCGGAAUUACUGGGUGUAAAGCGUGCGUAGGCGGUUUCGUAAGUCGGGUGUGAAAGCCCCGGGCUCAACCUGGGAAUUGCAUUCGAGACUGCGAAGCUAGGGUGCGGAAGUGGGAAGCGGAAUUUCCGGUGUAGCGGUGAAAUGCGUAGAUAUCGGAAGGAACAUCAGUGGCGAAAGCGGCUUCCUGGUCCAGCGCCGACGCUCAGGCACGAAAGCGUGGGGAGCAAACAGGAUUAGAUACCCCUGUAGUCCCUGUCUCUUAUAC
rnacentral:rRNA from 1 species